rnacentral:rRNA from 1 species
ACUCCUGCGGGAGGCAGCAGUGGGGAAUAUUGGACAAUGGGCGCAAGCCUGAUCCAGCCAUGCCGCGUGAGUGAUGAAGGCCCUAGGGUUGUAAAGCUCUUUCACCGGUGAAGAUAAUGACGGUAACCGGAGAAGAAGCCCCGGCUAACUUCGUGCCAGCAGCCGCGGUAAUACGAAGGGGGCUAGCGUUGUUCGGAUUUACUGGGCGUAAAGCGCACGUAGGCGGACUAUUAAGUCAGGGGUGAAAUCCCGGGGCUCAACCCCGGAACUGCCUUUGAUACUGGUAGUCUUGAGUUCGAGAGAGGUGAGUGGAAUUCCGAGUGUAGAGGUGAAAUUCGUAGAUAUUCGGAGGAACACCAGUGGCGAAGGCGGCUCACUGGCUCGAUACUGACGCUGAGGUGCGAAAGCGUGGGGAGCAAACAGGAUUAGAUACCCCUGUAGUCCCAUG